AGUGCCAGUGAAACGAACGAUAGAAAAAAAGAAGCAUUCAAACUGUUCGCAAAUUUUUUGGUUUGGAUACAAGAAACCAAGUGAAAAUGAUACUGGAAAGUAUUUAUUCAAUAACGGACUUUUAAAUUGUUAUGAGUCUACAACACCUAAUUUCAGCAAAAUUCAAGUAAAAAGUCAUGUUAAAGAAGACAGAAAAUAAUCAAUAUCUGUUUUAAUAACUUGGCUUUCAUAGCAAAUCUGAGAGACUGUUUACCGUUUGACUCCUGUCCUAAUCUAACCUAGUGGGUUCAAAAAGAAGGGACCGCGCUGGAAACAUGAGUGGAUUAAAAGGAUCAGCCCUUUUUGAAUUAUUUGUCGAAGUGGUAACCAGCUAGAAGUCGUAACCAGCUUGUAUGAAAGGAUUUCUCGACGUGAAGUUGGUAAUUUUAUUCAACCAUGCCAAAAAAAAUAGAGCUUGCUCAGGAAACAGAAAAGAAAGAAAAAGAUGAAAUAUUAUUCUGUUGAACAAUA